rnacentral:rRNA from 1 species
UACGUAGGGUCCGAGCGUUGUCCGGAAUUAUUGGCGUAAAGGGCUCGUAGGCGGUUUGUCGCGUCGGGAGUGAAAUCCACUGGCUUAACUGGUGGCUUGCUUUCGAUACGGGCAGACUGGAGGUAUGCAGGGGGAGAACGGAAUUCCUGGUGUAGCGGUGAAAUGCGCAGAUAUCAGGAGGAACACCGGUGGCGAAGGCGGUUCUCUGGGCAUGUCCUGACGCUGAGGAGCGAAAGUGUGGGGAGCGAACAGG